GAUGAACGCUGGCGGCGUGCCUAAUACAUGCAAGUCGAGCGAACAGACGAGGAGCUUGCUCCUCUGACGUUAGCGGCGGACGGGUGAGUAACACGUGGGUAACCUACCUAUAAGACUGGGAUAACUUCGGGAAACCGAAGCUAAUACCGGAUAAUAUAUUUAACCGCAUGGUUCAAUAGUGAAAGACGCUUUUGCUUUCACUUAUAAAGAGAUCCGCGCGUCAUUAGCUAGUUGGUAAGGUAACGGCUUACCAAGGGAACGAUGCGUAGCCGACCUGAGAGGGUGAUCGGCCACACUGGAACUGAGACCCGGUCCAGACUCCUACGGGAGGCAGCAGUAGGGAAUCUUCCGAAAUGGGCGAAAGCCUGACGGAGCAACGCCGCGGGAGGGAUGAAGGUUUUCGGAUCGUAAAACUCUGUUAUUAGGGAAGAACAAAUGUGUAAGUAACUAUGCACGUCUUGACGGUAACUACUCAGAAAGCCACGGCUAACUACGUG
rnacentral:rRNA from 1 species